rnacentral:lncRNA from 1 species
CCCCCCAACCCCACACACACAAACACAAAAAAAGUCUAAAACAACAGUCUCGGCUAGUGACUUCAUAAUGUAUUUUUUAUGUUCUCGUGUAAUCCGUGAGCACAUUGCCACUAGUGGUAGCCUAUUUUCAUCACAUCAUCAUGGAAAUAGUAAUAUUCUUAUAUUUACUCAUGUAACAUGUGCGCACAUUCUCUUGAUAAUAAAUUUGUAAUAGCUAUUGCACUCACAAUUUGACUUACAAUUUGUCUCUUUGAAAUGAACUUUGUACCUUCCUUUUCAUUUAAUAUAUCAUACCUCUCUUUAGUUUUAUUUAAAAAAAAGAAAUUUGACUUAAAUAACAGGGGGAUGUUUACUCUUUUUUUCCCCACCAAUCUGCACCUGUUAUUUGCUCUCAAAUUAAGAAACGUAUUUUCCUAUUUCUAGUGGAUGCAUUGUGGAUAAGGACACGAAGGUCAAUGUGAAGCACAUAGGCAACAAUCAGGGGCAAUUAUUUUUUUUCAAUUUUUCUCCAAUUACGAAAUUAAAUUUUGAGACAUGCAUGAAACAUGCGCCCAGUACCUAAGUGUAGUGGAUUGAACUUGAAUUUGUCAAAAACAUUUUGGCAUUUGUUUUUUUUUUCAAAAGUUUCAGUCAAAAAUUAGGGUUUCGGAAACAAUUAAGUUGCUUGGUUCGUUGAAUUGGAGUCAUCUACGUGUUGAUUGUUGAUUAAUUAAUUUGCUUCACAAACGCUACCAUCUUUCAAAAAUGGUGAAGAUUAAUCCCAAUAGUGACAUCGACGUCAACCUUUUUCGGCAAAUAUAAUCUUAACUGAUAUAGUCAAAUUAAGGUCGCAUUCUCGCUAAUUUACUUGUCUGGUUGGUCAUGAAAAUGGAUGUAAGAAUGAGUCAAAGAGUUAAUAUCCGAUUGGACAAUCAACCAAGAUUUGGCUUAUCCCCCCAAUAAAUAUGUGAUCCUUAAGGGAAGAUCUUUUUUAUUCCACAUAAGACGUUUUAAACUAAAAUGCAUGAACUAAAACAUUCAAAUAAAAAAUGAGUUUGCCUGUUUGAUGAUUGCAUUGGCAUAGCAUAAUAGAUUUAAGUGUCCUUUUCAUAACGUCACUCUUGAAACUGUGAAGAGAGUUGGAAGAGAGGACUAUGAUAAAGUUGAGGUGACAAUGGGGCGAAAGAGUUUUAUUUAGCACUUGAUUAGAGCGGCCUGCAUGGCUAUUUAUGAAGGUAUGACAUAUGCUCCCUAAAGUUAGUGAAAAAAAUUCAUCAAUGAAUGUUAGGAUUCUAAGUAGGAUGAUAAAAUUCUCUAUGGGUUUGGGGCUCUAAGGAGUCCCACCCUAAAUGAGAUAAAUUUUAAAUAUUUUUUGGGAAAUGGAGUGGGGAGUGGGAGAAAAAUAAUUCCUAAAUUCUUAAUAGGGUGGGGUUUGAUUUUGCACUCCCCACUCUACCCCCACUCCAAUCCCCAUUAUAU